AGAGCCAAGGGCCAGCGCCUGCGCCCUGACCUCCCCACCGCAAACCUGCGGCUGCUGCCCUUCUCCUCCAGCUGACUCAAGAGCAUCCUGGGAGAUAGAGAAUAAUCAAAGGAAAAAAGAGGAGAGAACAGAGCAGAUAUGAAAGUGGAAAAGAAAUAGAAGGGCAAGGAGGAAGAGACAGAAAGAAGGAGGCAGGAGGAGCAAAAGAGAAAAACAGGAGUGUACAGUGUUGGGAAAAAAAAGGUAAUUGCCAGCAUUUUCAGUUGCAAUUCUCUUCUCUCCAUUUGCCCUGUGUUUUCAAAUUGCUGGUGUUGAAAAGAAUUACCCUCAGAACAUUGUUAAUCAUGGAGCAUUUACCAACAGUAACAUCUUUGUACCUCGAUCAAAUUCCAGCCCUGAUAAUUUCAUUCUCCAUGCCUCAGGUAUCCA
rnacentral:lncRNA from 1 species